UCCUCUGCCCUUCAAAUGAUCUUGCAGUAGGUGUGAUAUAAUCACCACUGCAGACAACAUCUGGGUACUUCAUAGCUUUAGACAGCAGCCCCAACAGUCCUCAGAGCAGAGGUCAGAUGCAGCCUUUGGCCAAGUAAGAGGAGGAUGGUGACAUCUGUUGACAAGCAGUGCUAGAAACUAUGGCAUCAGCAAGAUGGUGACCCCAAAGGGCUUACUAUAGAGUAUAGACCUUCAUCAUGAGAGAUCACUGACUCCACAGAGACAGAGGCAGCCUGGACAAUCUUACAUUUCGAGUUGCAUGGAACUUAUGCUGUGCACCAGAAUUUUAUUUUAAAUGCACCACCAAUUGCAUUUUUGAGGGCAUUAGAUUAGAUACACCAAAGCAUUGUGCAAACCCUUUUGUGCUUCACUAAAUAUCAGAAUCCUGAUCCUGCAAAAGAGGACAAAGAACAGAUAUGUCUAAGUAACUUCCUGCAGAAGUUAUCAACCCUCGCCUCUAACAGUAUUGACAGGGCAGAAUCAAAGCACUACAGAGCUUCUCUCUUUCCAAACACUCCUGGACAUGUACUGCAUCUGUCAUGAUGACAGGAGUCCAGGCAACCACAAAGUAAUAAGGAUUUACCAGCAGGUGCAGAGAACUUCAAAAAGUUAGUUUAAAAUUAUUUCUGUGUUGAAUGCCCCCUGCAACAUAGUUUGAAAGGAAGUUAGACCAGAAAUCAGGGCUUUCUCUCUGUUUAUAUUACUGCUUCGGCAGUUCACCUUUA